AUGUAUAUUUCAGGCUGCACUGUUAAUAACGUCCAAGGAACAAGCCUUAUUUUUCCCAUAAAUUUUUUUUUCGUGCCUAUGGUGGGUUUUAGAACUCAAAAAUACGGCUGGGGGCGGGCGGGGUUGGGGGUGUGGGAUCUGAAAUGCCGUGAGUGGAGGGGGGAGCUGCGGGGAAGGGUCGCGGCGGGCUCCCACGCGCGGUGCUCGCUCCAGCGGCGCUUCCCGGCCGGCGCCUCCCGGAGCCGGGGUCGCCCCCGGAGCCGCCCGCCGGGCCGGGCUGCCUCGGGGUGCCCUUGGGCUCUUCUCCGGCCCCGGCCCGUCGUUGUGGAGCGAUGCCGAGAUUGGACCAAAUCACCCAAAAAAAGAACCCCAGAGCCCGGCGCUCCGACCGCCCGUGCGGGGGCCGGGGCUUGUUCGGGAGGGACCAGGAGUCACCACGGCCGGGAAGGAGCGCGGGGAGCGCGGCCGGGGCUUCCCGCAUUUCGGCCCCUGCUCCGGGGAAGCGGCAGACGGGACCACUGCGCCCAAAAACGAACAAACAAAAAACCAAAACACAGCCCCCAAGAAACCCAAAAACAAUUAAAAAAAAAAAAAAAAAAAAAAAAAAAAGAGGAGGAGGAAGAAAACCACCCGGGGAGUAAUAAAAGAAGACGGAAAAAACGGAAGUUCACCUCCGAAGGGGCAAGCGCGGAGAAACUUUUGCAGCCCCAAAGGUGCAGGGGCGGCCAAGCGUUCCCCAAAACUCCAGAUUCUCGCCCCCGCUCCCGAAUUUCGGCAGCGGCGGAGCCUGGGGCUGCCCGUCCCCGCCCGGCGAGCGCCGGAGCUGGGGCGGCUCCCGCGGUGCGGCACCGAGAGGCGGCCCAGAGCACCCCGGGCUGGGCUGGGCAGUGCGGGGACAGCCCCGGUGCCCGGACAGAGCGCGGACAGGCGCGGCCGUGGGUGCCCCAGCCCGCCCCGCGAUCCGCAGAUCCCCUCGCAAACGGGGCUGCCACUCCCGAGCUCUGGCCGCGCCCCGGCACAGCGACCCGCGCCCACCCAGACCCCGCGGGGGGGUCCUCGGCGCUGAGGCUGGCGGGGCUCAGCCCGGCCCCGCAGCCCCCACAAGGACAGGGCUUUUUGCUUUUCUUCUGA
rnacentral:lncRNA from 1 species